AUGACCUUGGUCAAGGCGGUCCUUACGGCGGUGGCCAUUUACCACAUUACACCGGUUGACCUUCCGGUGGAGGUUCUCAAGGCGAUCGAUAGGUUGCGGCGAGCCUACCUUUGGGCCGGAACUGACAAGGUAACUGGUGGAAAGUGCAAAGUAAACUGGGAGCUCGUCUGCAGG
rnacentral:rRNA from 1 species